rnacentral:rRNA from 1 species
AAGUGGGCCAGUUUUGGUAAGCAUGGUGGCCAUAGAAGUCGGAACUCGCUAAGGAGUGUGUAACACCUCACCUGCUGAAGCAACUAGCCCCGAAAAUGGAUGGCGCUCUA